AGCAGCCGCGGUAAUUCCAGCUCCAAUAGCGUAUAUUAAAGUUGUUGCAGUUAAAAAGCCCGUAGUUGAAUUUCGGGGUUAGUAGAUUGGUCAUGCCAUCGGUAUGUACUGGUCUCACUGAUUCCUCCUUCCUGAUGAGCCGUAAUGCCAUUAAUUUGGUGUUGCGGGGAAUUUGGACUGUUACUUUAGAAAAAAUUAGAGUGUUUAAAGCAAGCUAACGCUUGAAUACAUUAGCAUGGAAUAAUGAAAUAGGACGUUCGAUCCUAUUUUGUUGGUUUCUAGGAUUGACGUAAUGAUUAAUAGGGAUAGUUGGGGGCAUUAGUAUUCAAUUGUCAGAGGUGAAAAUUCUUGGAUUUAUUGAAGACU
rnacentral:misc_RNA from 1 species